AUUGAACGCUGGCGGCAGGCCUAACACAUGCAAGUCGAGCGGACGAAGGGAGCUUUUUCUUGUCUUCCGUUGGCGACGGGUGAGUAAUUCCCAGGAAUCUACCUGGUCGUGGGGGAUAACGUCCGUUCACGGACGCUAAUCCCGCAUCCGUUCUGAGGGAGAAAGUCGGGGAUCUUCGGACCUCACGCUAUCAGAUGAGCCUAGGUCGGAUUAGCUAGUUGGUGGGGUAAAGGCCUACCAAGGCGACGAUCCGUAACUGGCCUGAGAGGAUGAUCAGUCACACUGGAACUGAGACACGGUCCAGACUCCUACGGGAGGCAGCAGUGGGGAAUAUUGGGCAAUGGGCGAAAGCCUGACGGAGCAAUGCCGCGUGUGUGAAGAAGGUCUUCGGAUUGUAAAACUCUUUUAUUAGGGAGGAAGGGCUGUGAGAGAAAAUCUUCAUGUCUUGACGUUACCAAAAGAAUAAGCAACGGCUAACUACGUG
rnacentral:rRNA from 1 species